GACCAACUAAGUUUGUUCUGGGUGUAAGCUUUUGUGUUCAUGCACACGAAAGCUUGUACCCAGAACAAACUUAGUUGGUC